rnacentral:rRNA from 1 species
AUACGUAGGGUGCGAGCGUUGUCCGGAAUUACUGGGCGUAAAGAGCUCGUAGGUGGUUUGUCGCGUCGUCUGUGAAAUUCCGGGGCUUAACUCCGGGCGUGCAGGCGAUACGGGCAUAACUUGAGUACUGUAGGGGAGACUGGAAUUCCUGGUGUAGCGGUGAAAUGCGCAGAUAUCAGGAGGAACACCGGUGGCGAAGGCGGGUCUCUGGGCAGUAACUGACGCUGAGGAGCGAAAGCAUAGGUAGCGAACAGGAUUAGAUACCCUGGUAGUCCAGGCCGUAAACGGUGGGCGCUAGGUGUAGGGGUCUUCCACGACUUCUGUGCCGUAGCUAACGCAUUAAGCGCCCCGCCUGGGGAGUACGGCCGCAAGGCUAAAACUCAAAGGAAUUGACGGGG